AUUGAACGCUGGCGGCAGGCCUAACACAUGCAAGUCGGGCGAGUGGCGGACGGGUGAGUAAUGUAUGGGGAACUGCCUGAUGGAGGGGGAUAACUACUGGAAACGGUAGCUAAUACCGCAUACCAUCAGAUGAACCCAUAUGGGAUUAGCUAGUUGGUGAGGUAACGGCUGACCCAGGCGCCGAUCCCUAGCUGGUCUGAGAGGAUGACAAGCCACACUGGGAAUGAGACAAGGCCCAGACUCCUACGGGAGGCAGCAGUGGGGAAUAUUGCACAAGGGGCGCAAGCCUGAUGCAGCCAUGCCGCGUGUAUGAAGAAGGCCUUCGGGUUGUAAAGUACUUUCAGUCGGGAGGCGUUACCGACAGAAGAAGCACCGGCUAACUCCGUGCCAGCAGCCGCGGUAAUAC
rnacentral:rRNA from 1 species